CCAAAUCUUAUCCUCUCUCUCUAAACACACUCUCUCUCUCUCUCUCUCACUCACAAUCACAAACCCGUCUCUCAGCACCAUCAUUGUCAUUACCACCACCUUCCUCCGGUCAACACCACCGAGUACUUGGGAUCAAACUCAUUCAAGGCAUUCAAAGUCGAUCAAAACUUCUUAUUCCUAACACAAAAUGAUAAUUAUCAUUUCAAUAUCCUACCAUUAAUAACUAAGCUACCAUUAAAGACUUCUCUUUCCACACAGACGACCAUUAAUGAAGUGUGGAAGAAACAAGGUGGCUGCAAUUUAUAACCCAUUAUAAACUUCCAUAAAACUCACAUCUAACCACCAAAUUAGUGUCAUUGUCAAGCUUCCAUUGCCUGUACCGACCACCAUCUCUAAAAUCAGAUCUAGUUUGUUCAUCAUCUUCAUAUCCCCUCUCUCUAGCUUCAACCAACCUUCACCGCCACCUGUGACCGCCACCACUGACCACUAUCUUCAUCGCACUACCACCUGUGAUUGUCACCAUCUCUAAAUCAGAUUUGAUUCGUUAAUUGCAGAUCUAAAAACACAGGUUCGUAAACGACCACCAUCUUCAUCGGCGACCCUACACCACCUUGAUCCUAAGUCGACGACCCCACUCUUCUGCUGUAAUGACUGCAUCACCUUGAAUCUCCGAGUCUCCGACUAAUACAAAUUCAGUGGGAUCCUCAAUGCGCCGCCAUCAUCCAGCCAGAACUCAUCGGAGAAAACCUAUAUUCUCCACAUGAAAUGCUGAUGGAUUGUGGUGGUGGCAGUUGACGACAACUGGUACAGAGAAGAGAAGGGGAAAUGAUUUAGGUCUGGGUAGGGGUGUUCAAAAAACUCGUGGCUCGCAGCUCGUUCGAAACUCGCUCGAAUUUUAAUCGAGUCGAGCUCGAGCCUCAAAUCUCAGCUCGAUUUGAAAUUCGAGCUCGAGCCAAGCCAACUCGAAUUAAGUUCGAGCCGAGCUCGAGCCGGGUCGAGCUCGGUUCGACUCGGCUCGUUUACAGCCCUAGGUCUGGGUUCUUUAUUUUGGGGGAAAAUUGGAGAGGGCAGUGGAAAAGACAGAUUUACCCUCAAGUGACAUGCACAUGAUCCUAUUUAACCAAAAGAAUUAACUGGGUUAGGCUUAAAGGACAUACAGUGCAAGAUUUUGAAACAUAAAGGACAUCGCCUGACAAUUUUAAAGGUAAAGGACAGCGCCUGAAAUUUGAUGCAAACAUAAAGGACAAAACUUGUAAUUUACUCUAUUACAAAUCAUAAACUAACUGUAUUAUAUAAUAGUUAUAGAUAUAGGUAAAGGAUCAAAUAAAAAUAAAAUUAUCGUACGAAAUGUACGUACGAAUUGGGGAAAAAAGCAAAAAAGUGGCGGUGGCAAUCUGGUAAUUAUCAACAACUUCAAAAUUACUAGGGAAAAAACAAAAAGUGACGGUGAUAAUUACCAAAAUGCCACCGCCACUUUUUGCUUUUCCCCCAAUUCGUACGCUUAGUAUGUUAAUUUUAUUUUUACAUGAACUUAACUCUAUAGAUAUAUCAUAUAUGCAUGGUUAAGUUUAUAAAGUUACCUGACAUUAAUUACAUCAUCAACUCUUCCAGUGAUCCAAUAAUAUCCAUCCUUGUCUCUGAAACGAAAACGAGUUAUCACUCAAGUAACAGAUGAAGCAAAAAAAUUUAUACGAAUGCGCGCUUUUACCAUAAAGGUUCUUUAUUUGUGUUCUUUACUUACUUAACGUGUAAAGAAAUAUUCAAUUACCUUCUGCAGCCAUCACCGCUGAAAUAAUAACCAGGGAACGCGCUGAAAUAAGUUGUUUCGUAUCUUUCAUGAUCUCCGAAAAGAGUCCUGAACGCUCCGGGCCAUGAGGUUUUAACGCAUAAAUAGCCGCUGCACUCACCUUCCAUUUCCUUUCCCUUUUCAUCCACUAUGACUGGCUGCAUUUAUUUUAUAUUUUGGAGUGUGAUUUAGACGGGUCGUUAAAGAUUGAAAAUAUACGUGUAUAUAUAUAUUUUAUAAAAAUACUAUAAGCUCGAUAUAUACCAGAACACCGAAAAAUGGAAAAGUAGCGGAACCUGGUUUUUGAGGCCAUGCACCAGGCAAAGGAGUGAUCUAAAAAGCAAGAACGGUUAAGCUCGAUUUUUAUAAAUCAUGUAAAUACAUAUAUGGUGAUAUGUGCAUAAAUAGUUA
rnacentral:lncRNA from 1 species